rnacentral:rRNA from 1 species
GACGAACGCUGGCGGCGUGCUUAACACAUGCCAGUCGAACGGUAAGGCCCUACUUUUCUGGGGUACUCGAGUGGCGAACGGGUGAGUAACACGUGAGUGACCUGCCCUGCACUUUGGGAUAACUUCAGGAAACUGGGUCUAAUACCGGAUACGAGCGCCUGCUGCGGGGGGGGUGUUGAGUUUUUCGGUGGGGGAUGGGUGUGCGGCCGAUUAGCUUGUUGGUGGGGUAAUGGCUUACCAAGGCGGCGACGGGUAGCCGGCCUGAGAGGGUGGACGGCCACAUUGGGACUGAGAAACGGCCCAGACUCCUACGGGAGGCAGCAGUGGGGAAUAUUGCACAAUGGGCGGAAGCCUGAUGCAGCAACGCCGCGUGGGGGAUGACGGCCUUCGGGUUGUAAACUGCUUUCACCUGAGACGAAGGUUGAGUGACGGUAAAGGGAGAAGAAGCACCGGCUAACUACGUG